GAUGAACGCUGGCGGCGUGCCUAAUACAUGCAAGUCGAGCGAACAGAUGAGGAGCUUGCUCCUCUGACGUUAGCGGCGGACGGGUGAGUAACACGUGGAUAACCUACCUAUAAGACUGGGAUAACUUCGGGAAACCGGAGCUAAUACCGGAUAAUAUAUUGAACCGCAUGGUUCAAUAGUGAAAGACGGUUUUGCUGUCACUUAUAGAUGGAUCCGCGCCGCAUUAGCUAGUUGGUAAGGUAACGGCUUACCAAGGCAACGAUGCGUAGCCGACCUGAGAGGGUGAUCGGCCACACUGGAACUGAGACACGGUCCAGACUCCUACGGGAGGCAGCAGUAGGGAAUCUUCCGCAAUGGGUGAAAGCUUGACGGAGCAACGCCGCGUGAGUGAUGAAGGUCUUCGGAUCGUAAAACUCUGUUAUUAGGGAAGAACAAAUGUGUAAGUAACUAUGCACGUCUUGACGGUACCUAAUCAGAAAGCCACGGCUAACUACGUG
rnacentral:rRNA from 1 species